UAUCUCUGUAGAGUCUGCAUAUCAAUAAGCGGAGGAAAAGAAACUAACUAGGAUUCCCUCAGUAACGGCGAGUGAAGCGGGAAGAGCUCAAAUUUGAGAUCUUCAAGGUUCUACCUUGACGAAUUGUAGUUUAAAGAAGUGUUUUCUGUUGGAGUUUUGGUAAAAGUUCUUUGGAAUAGGACAUCAUAGAGGGUGAGAAUCCCGUAUUUGACCAUUACUUUCAGCUUUGUGAUACACUUUCAAAGAGUCGGAUUGUUUGGGAUUGCAGUCCAAAAUGGGUGGUAAAUUUCAUCUAAAGCUAAAUAUUGGCGAGAGACCGAUAGCGAACAAGUACCGUGAGGGAAAGAUGAAAAGAACUUUGAAAAGAGAGUUAAACAGUACGUGAAAUUGUCAAAAGGGAAGCGUUUGACACCAGUGUUGUUUUCUCGAAAAUCAAUUAAAAAAGGCAGGAUUUUGUGUUGUAUUGACUUUAUCAGCUUUCUGCACUCUUUUCUUGUCUUUUUUAAUGCACUUUUCAGUUAACAAGUCAACAUCAAUUUCUUUUGUUGUAAAAGGGUCAUUGGAAGGUGGCUUUCUUUUCGGAGAAAGUGUUUAUAGCCUUUGGCCUCUGCAAUCGGAGAGAUUGAGGUCUGCAGCGUAGAUCCUUCGGGGUUAGAUACAUUUGUGCUAAGUUAUAGCCUUUCAUAGACAACUUGUUGACUAUGAUCAGUCAUGUAGCUUACUCGCUUAUGCUAUUUUACCUACGCUUAGGAUGUUGACGAUCAGCUGAGCGCG
rnacentral:rRNA from 1 species